AUGCCAUGGUGAGGGCAUUUUGCGUAACAACUCCUUAGACCGCUCCCCAUGCCUCAUAUAAGGAUUCUUCAUCGAGUUGUUGAAAUGAAGUAAUCUCAUUGCGAAGCUU